rnacentral:rRNA from 1 species
AGUGAACGCUGGCGGUAGGCCUAACACAUGCAAGUCGAACGGCAGCACAGUAAGAGCUUGCUCUUACGGGUGGCGAGUGGCGGACGGGUGAGGAAUACAUCGGAAUCUACUUUUUCGUGGGGGAUAACGUAGGGAAACUUACGCUAAUACCGCAUACGACCUACGGUUGAAAGCAGGGGAUCUUCGGACCUUGCGCGAUUGAAUGAGCCGAUGUCGGAUUAGCUAGUUGGCGGGGUAAAGGCCCACCCAGGCGACGAUCCGUAGCUGGUCUGAGAGGAUGAUCAGCCGCACUGGAACUGAGACACGGUCCAGACUCCUAAGGGAGGGAGCAGUGGGGAAUAUUAGACAAUGGGCGCAAGCCUGAUCCAGCCAGAGCGAGUGGGUGAAGAAGGCCUUCGGGUUGUAAAGCCCUUUUGUUGGGAAAGAAAAGCAGCAGGUUAAUACCCCGCUGUUCUGACGGUACCCAAAGAAUAAGCACCGGCUAACUUCGUG